rnacentral:rRNA from 1 species
GAUGAACGCUGGCGGCGUGCCUAAUACAUGCAAGUCGAGCGAACAGACGAGGAGCUUGCUCCUCUGACGUUAGCGGCGGACGGGUGAGUAACACGUGGAUAACCUACCUAUAAGACUGGGAUAACUUCGGGAAACCGGAGCUAAUACCGGAUAAUAUAUUGAACCGCAUGGUUCAAUAGUGAAAGACGGUUUUGCUGUCACUUGUAGAUGGAUCCGCGCCGCAUUAGCUAGUUGGUAAGGUAACGGCUUAUCAAGGCAACGAGGCGUAGCCGACCUGAGAGGGUGAUCGGCCACACUGGAACUGAGACACGGUCCAGACUCCUACGGGAGGCAGCAGUAGGGAAUCUUCCGCAAUGGGCGAAAGCCUGACGGAGCAACGCCGCGUGAGUGAUGAAGGUCUUCGGAUCGUAAAACUCUGUUAUUAGGGAAGAACAAAUGUGUAAGUAACUAUGCACGUCUUGACGGUACCUAAUCAGAAAGCCACGGCUAACUACGUG